rnacentral:rRNA from 1 species
AUUGAACGCUGGCGGCAGGCUUAACACAUGCAAGUCGAGCGGGGUGAUGGUGCUUGCACUAUCACUUAGCGGCGGACGGGUGAGUAAUGCUUAGGAAUCUGCCUAUUAGUGGGGGACAACAUCUCGAAAGGGAUGCUAAUACCGCAUACGUCCUACGGGAGAAAGCAGGGGAUCACUUGUGACCUUGCGCUAAUAGAUGAGCCUAAGUCGGAUUAGCUAGUUGGUGGGGUAAAGGCCUACCAAGGCGACGAUCUGUAGCGGGUCUGAGAGGAUGAACAGCCACACUGGGAAUGAGAGACGGCCGAGACGCCUACGGGGGGCAGCAGUUGGGAAUAUUGGACAAUGGGGGGAACCCUGAUCCAGCCAUGCCGCGUGUGUGAAGAAGGCCUUAUGGUUGUAAAGCACUUUAAGCGAGGAGGAGGCUCUUUUGGUUAAUACCCAAGAUGAGCGGACGUUACUCGCAGAAUAAGCACCGGCUAACUCUGUGCCAGCAGCCGCAGUAA